AUUGAACGCUGGCGGCAUGCCUUACACAUGCAAGUCGAGCGGCAGCGCGGGGGCAACCCUGGCGGCGAGCGGCGCACGGGUGAGUAAUGCAUCGGAACGUGUCCUCUUGUGGGGGAUAACCAGUCGAAAGACUGGCUAAUACCGCAUGAGAUCGAGAGAUGAAAGCAGGGGACCCCUCAGUGCAAACUGCGGGGCCUUGCGCGAGAGGAGCGGCCGAUGCCCGAUUAGCUAGUUGGCGGGGUAAAAGCCCACCAAGGCGACGAUCGGUAGCUGGUCU
rnacentral:rRNA from 1 species